UACGUAGGGACCAAGCGUUGUUCGGAAUUACUGGGCGUAAAGCGUGCGUAGACGGUUGCGUAAGUCAGAUGUGAAAGCCCCGGGCUCAACCUGGGAAUUGCAUUUGAGACUGCGUAGCUAGGGUGCGGAAGAGGGAAGCGGAAUUUCCGGUGUAGCGGUGAAAUGCGUAGAUAUCGGAAGGAACACCAGUGGCGAAAGCGGCUUCCUGGUCCAGCACCGACGUUCAGGCACGAAAGCGUGGGGAGCAAACAGG
rnacentral:rRNA from 1 species